rnacentral:misc_RNA from 2 species
UAUGAUGACCUAGGCAUUCAUAAACAGUUAUCCCUAUCUGAAUAACAGUGUUGAUCCGGUUCUAACUUCUGAU